rnacentral:rRNA from 1 species
UACAGAGGUCUCAAGCGUUGUUCGGAUUCAUUGGGCGUAAAGGGCGCGUAGGCGGUUCGUACAGUCAGACGUGAAAUUCCUGGGCUCAACCUGGGGGCUGCGUUUGAUACGUGCGGACUUGAGUGCGGAAGAGGGUCGUGGAAUUCCCAGUGUAGAGGUGAAAUUCGUAGAUAUUGGGAAGAACACCGGUGGCGAAGGCGGCGACCUGGUCCGAUACUGACGCUGAGGCGCGAAAGCGUGGGGAGCAAAACAGG